rnacentral:rRNA from 1 species
UAAUAAAUUUUUAUUAUUUUUAAUUAGUUAAUUUUUAAUUUUAAUAAAAAUAAUUUUAAUAAUUUAAAUUUUUAUUAUAGUAUAUAGAAAAAAUAAUUUUUAUAAUAGUUUAAAGUAUUGUAAAAGAAUAUAUUUUUUAUUAUUAAAGUAAAUUUAAUUUAUUGUACCUUUUGUAUCAGGGUUUAUUAAUUAAAUAUUAUUUAUUUUAAUAUUCUCGAAUUUAAAAGAGUUAAAUUAAUAUUAAAUUUAAUGUUUUAUAAUUAUUUUAAAUAUUAAUUUAGUAAUGAAAUGUUAAUCGUUUUUAAAUAUAUCUAGUUUUUUAAGAAUUAAAUUUAAUUUAUAAUAUUUUAAUAAAAUUAAUUUUUUUAAAAAUUAAUUUUUUAAAAUAUUAAAAUUAAUUAGGGAUAAGCUUAAUUAAUUUAUUUAUAAAAUUAUAAAUUAAUUAAAUAUAAUAGGAAUAAAAAUUUUCAUUUAUAAAUAAAGUGUUAUAAUUAAUUUAUUAAAUAAAAAAUUUAUUUAAUUUUAAUUUUUUUAUUAAAAUAUUUAAUUUAAUAAUGUAUUUAAGUAAUAAUGAUAAAAUUAGUAUUAAUUUAUUUAAAAAUAAAAAUUUUAUUUAGAUUAAAUUAAGGAAUUCAGCAAAUAAAUACUCACCUGUUUAACAAAAACAUGUCUUUUACAUUAUAAUUUAAAGGCUAACCUGCCCACUGAUUUAUAUUAAAGGGCCGCGGUAUUUUGACUGUGCAAAGGUAGCAUAAUCAUUUGUCUUUUAAUUGAAGGCUAGAAUGAAUGGUUGAAUGAAGUAUUAACUGUCUCAUUUUAAUAAAUUAAAAAUUUAAUUUUUUAGUUAAAAAGCUAAAAUUUUUUUAAAGGACGAGAAGACCCUAUAGAUCUUUAUAUUAAAUUUUUAAAUGAAUUUUAGAUUUUAAUUAUUUGUAUAAAAAUUAUAAUAUUUUAUUGGGGUGAUAAGAAAAUUAAUUUAACUUUUUUUUAUUUUUACAUUGAUAUAUGAAUAAUUGAUCCUUUAUUAAAGAUUAUAAGAUUAAGUUACCUUAGGGAUAACAGCGUAAUUUUUUUAGAGAGUUCAUAUCGAUAAAAAAGAUUGCGACCUCGAUGUUGAAUUAAAGGUUAUUUUUAAAUGUAGUAGUUUAAAGUUUAAGUCUGUUCGACUUUUGAAUCUUUACAUGAUUUGAGUUCAAACCGGUGUAAGCCAGGUUGGUUUCUAUCCUUAAUUAAAUAUAAUAUUUUAGUACGAAAGGACCAAAUAUUUAAAAUAUUUUUUUAUUUAUUGAAUAUUAUUAAUAUUAA